GGAAGCCAGGGGCUCUACCAUUUCCUUCCCCACCCCUGGGCCCUGCUGGGAACUCCAGGACGAGGAAAGUGAACAUCAGAGGAGGAAGGCCCCAGUGUGGAAGGGAGCCUGGGUGUCAGCCAAGCAGGGUUGCAGCGAUGAUCAGACUAGAUGUGCCCAUGGAAACCCUCGGUGGACUUUAUAAUCUACAAAAUGAAAGAUGAGGAAGCCGAGGCCUAGGAGUUGGAAUGACUUGCCCGAAGAGCACAGCAGAGGCUUGCAAAGGCAUCUCUGGGCCUUCCUCCUCAUCCUGCAUGCAGGCCUGGGCCCCUGUGUCCCCGUGAAGAGCUUGAUAAUCAGCCCCGUGCAGCCCAGUAACCAAGAGGCCUGAACUCUUCGGGGAUCCCAGCAGAGGAAGGGGUGCCCUCAGGCAGCUCCGCCAGACUGCCCUGCCCAGCCAGCAGCAGGCCGUCCAAGGAGAACUGGGAGAGAAGUUGGGAGAAGGCCAGCUGCUAACUGUGGAAAAUAAAUCGGGGACCUCUAACCACACAGCUGAAGAAGGGCCAGCGGCACGUAGACGUGUUUCCUUUUGUGCUCUUGCUCACCAACUGUAAUUGUUAAUUGAAAGCCACGAGUUAUAUAAGUUAUGCGGAUACCAAAGAAGGAAUCGACUCAGUGCUUGAAAAGAACCCAGCUGCUGAGUGGUUUUCAGGAUGAAGAAGGGUUUCUGAAAAGCAGGUGGCUGAGGAGGGCAGCCGCCCCAAAGAGGGCAACCAGGACAAACUGUCUCCCAGCGACAGCUCUCUGGAUCUGCAGACAUGUCGUUCCUGGGGUUUUAGAGUACAAGGAAGUGAUCAAGCUGCUGAUUGUUCACAAAAUCACAUAGAAAGUCC
rnacentral:lncRNA from 1 species